CGGUAAUACAGAGGGUACAAGCGUUAAUCGGAAUUACUGGGCGUAAAGCGCGCGUAGGUGGUUUGUUAAGUUGGAUGUGAAAUCCCCGGGCUCAACCUGGGAACUGCAUUCAAAACUGACUGACUAGAGUAUGGUAGAGGGUGGUGGAAUUUCCUGUGUAGCGGUGAAAUGCGUAGAUAUAGGAAGGAACACCAGUGGCGAAGGCGACCACCUGGACUAAUACUGACACUGAGGUGCGAAAGCGUGGGGAGCAAACAGGAUUAGAUACCCGGG
rnacentral:rRNA from 1 species